rnacentral:rRNA from 1 species
AGCGAACGCUGGCGGCAGGCCUAACACAUGCAAGUCGAACGAACCUUUCGGGGGUAGUGGCGGACGGGUGAGUAACACGUGGGAACGUGCCUUUAGGUUCGGAAUAACUCAGGGAAACUUGUGCUAAUACCGAAUGUGCCCUUCGGGGGAAAGAUUUAUCGCCUUUAGAGCGGCCCGCGUCUGAUUAGCUAGUUGGUUGAGGUAAUGGCUCACCAAGGCGACGAUCAGUAGCUGGUCUGUGAGGAUGAUCAGCCACAUUGGGACUGAGACACAGCCCAAACUCCUACGGGAGGCAGCAGUGGGGAAUCUUGCGCAAUGGGCGAAAGCCUGACGCAGCCAUGCCGCGUGAAUGAUGAAGGUCUUAGGAUUGUAAAAUUCUUUCACCGGGGACGAUAAUGACGGUACCCGGAGAAGAAGCCCCGGCUAACUUCGUG